CAGGAAUCAUAUUGACAGGUCAUGAAAAUGAGACCAAAAGAUCUCUGGAAGCGAUUAAUGAUAAAAUUUCAUGGAGAAGAAGGCCUUGACUACGGAGGGGUUGCCAGGGUGAUGACAACUCCGUGAGGGUGGAGAUUAUACAUCUCUCAUCAUUUCAGCAACAAGGAAAUAAAUUAGUGGCAGAGUAAGGGUGACUUGGUGAGUACAUCCAAUUGUUGACAUAGUUUUGGGUGGG
rnacentral:lncRNA from 1 species